rnacentral:rRNA from 1 species
GACGAACGCUGGCGGCGUGCUUAACACAUGCAAGUCGAACGGAAAGGCCCUUCGGGGUACUCGAGUGGCGAACGGGUGAGUAACACGUGGGUGAUCUGCCCUGCACUUUGGGAUAAGCCUGGGAAACUGGGUCUAAUACCGAAUAGGACCACGCGCUUCAUGGUGUGUGGUGGAAAGCUUUUGCGGUGUGGGAUGGGCCCGCGGCCUAUCAGCUUGUUGGUGGGGUAAUGGCCUACCAAGGCGACGACGGGUAGCCGGCCUGAGAGGGUGACCGGCCACACUGGGACUGAGAUACGGCCCAGACUCCUACGGGAGGCAGCAGUGGGGAAUAUUGCACAAUGGGCGCAAGCCUGAUGCAGCGACGCCGCGCGAGGGAUGACGGCCUUCGGGUUGUAAACCUCUUUCAAUAGGGACGAAGCGCAAGUGACGGUACCUAGAGAAGAAGCACCGGCCAACUACGUG